UCAGCUCUCGGACAAAAAGAGGC
rnacentral:piRNA from 1 species